CGAGUUUGAUCAUGGCUCAGAGCGAACGCUAGCGGCGGGCUUAACACAUGCAAGUCGAGCGGAGAGCUUCGGCUCUCAGCGGCGAAUGGGUGAGUAACACGUAGGUCACGUACCCUUUGAUGGGGAAUAACCUAGGGAAACCUGGGCUAAUACCGCAUAUGUCCUUCGGGGAUGAAAGCCUUCGGGCGUCAGAGGAUCGGCCUGCGGCCCAUUAUUUAAUCCUAGUUGGUGAGAUAAUGGCUCACCAAGGCAAAGACGGGUAGCUGGUCUGAGAGGAUGAUCAGCCACACUGGAACUGAGACACGGUCCAGACUCCUACGGGAGGCAGCAGUGGGGAAUAUUGCGCAAUGGGCGAAAGCCUGACGCAGCCACGCCGCGUGAGCGAUGAAGGUCUUCGGAUCGUAAAGCUCUGUGGGGGGAGAAGAAGAAAGCCGGUGAAGAGCCGGCCCUGACGGUAUCCCCUUAGCAAGCACCGGCUAACUCCGUG
rnacentral:rRNA from 1 species